CUCUGUGAGAGGUUUUAGGAAGCAUCAGACAAACUCCCAACCUCCUGCACCCCUGGAAUCAUCAGGGUGAGCUUUGGGUGAGAUUCAGGGAAGUUUCAGGGAAGUUUCAGGGAAGUUUCAGGGAAGUUUCAGGGAAGUUUCAGGGAAGUUUCAGGGAAGUUUCAGGGAAGUUUCAGGGAAGUUUCAGGGAAGUUUCAGGGAAGUUUCAGGGAAGUUUCAGGGAAGUUUCAGGGAAGUUUCAGGGAAGUUUCAGGGAAGUUUCAGGGAAGUUUCAGGGAAGUUUCAGGGAAGUUUCAGGGAAGUUUCAGGGAAGUUUCAGGGAAGUUUCAGGGAAGUUUCAGGGAAGUUUCAGGGAAGUUUCAGGGAAGUUUCAGGGAAGUUUCAGGGAAGUUUCAGGGAAGUUUCAGGGAAGUUUCAGGGAAGUUUCAGGGAAGUUUCAGGGAAGUUUCAGGGAAGUUUCAGGGAAGUUUCAGGGAAGUUUCAGGGAAGUUUCAGGGAAGUUUCAGGGAAGUUUCAGGGAAGUUUCAGGGAAGUUUCAGGGAAGGGAAGUUUCAGGGAAGUUUCAGGGAAGGGAAGGGAAGGGAAGGGAAGGGAAGGGAAGGGAAGGGAAGGGAAGGGAAGACCCAUGGAGCAUCAAGAGGAAGCAGUUGUGAGCAAGGCGAGGAGCUGAUUUCUCCAAUUUCUCUAAUUUCUCUGAUUUCUCUGAUUUCUAUGAUUUUUCUGAUUUCUCUGAUUUCUGACUUCUUAUUUCUCUGAUUUCUGCUUUCUCAGUGGGAGGUGUCCCUGCCCAUGGCACAUGCCCAUGGAACAACCACUCUAGGAUUCUAUGAAAUAUUCCAGUAGAUUUCAGGCAAGGUCACAUUUAUCAUCUCCUCUACACAGACAGGUUUUGGAGGAACAUUUCCCUGUGCUUACAGCAAUAAUCUUGGUCUUCCUCCACUGAUGCUCCUCUCUGCUCAAGCAGAC
rnacentral:lncRNA from 12 species